rnacentral:tRNA from 1 species
GUCCCCGUAGCUCAGAUGGAUAGAGCGGUCCCCUCCUAAGGGACAGGCCACUGGUUCGAAUCCAGUCGAGGACACCA